AGUAAGCAGAGGUGUGGACCCAGGAGUUCUUCAUGUCAGAAUCUGCAGCCACAGCCAGGCAGCACCAUAUGGAGCAGAAGGAAGCACACAGAGGAAAGAGGAGUGGAUGGUAUUUUCCCCUGGAGCUUCUUGUCAGAAGACAAGGAAAGUGAAUUCUCUGCAGGUAGCUUGAGCCUUGCCAGAAAAGUGGCUUUUGUGAUUGCUAAUGGUGCUGAGGACUAUUUUUUUCUUUCUCUUUAAUCAAACAUGUGGGCUUUUGUGGGGGUUUUAUUAUGGUUUUUUAUAUUCCCCCCCUGUUCUUGAUAGGAUGAGUGGGAUUGACUUCUGCCACUCUAGUAUUUUCAUCAUGUCAGAGCACUGCUUUCUUACAGCCUUCAGAAGUACACUAGGCCCUUGCCACAAUCAAAUACUGUUUAUUUGCAGGCUCAGUAGGAUGCCCAAGCAUCUGAAUGCCUCUAAAAGAAACACUGCUGCUUUGCCUGAUUGUGCCAUGCCACUU